rnacentral:rRNA from 1 species
CUGGGAAUCGUGCGCAAUGGACGAAAGUCUGACGCUGCGACGCCGCGUGAAUGAUGAAGGCCUUUGGGUCGUAAAGUUCUUUUGCCAUUGGGGUGACCCAAUGGAGAAUAAGCACCGGCUAACUCUGUGCCAGCAGCAGCGGUAAUACAGAGGGUGCAAGCGUUGUCCGGAUUUACUGGGUGUAAAGCGUUUCGUAGGCGGCUUUUUAAGUUAUCUUUCAAAGUCCGAGGCUCAACCUCGGGAAGGGAGGUAAUACUGGAAGGCUGGAAGAAUAUCGGGGUUACUGGAACUUGCGGUGUAGGGGUGAAAUCCGUUGAUAUCGCAAGGAACACCAAGGGCGAAGGCAGGUAACUAGGUAUUUCUUGACGCUGAGGAACGACAGCUAGGGGAGCGAAAUGGAUUAGAGACCCAUGUAGUCCUAGCCGUAAACGAUGCUCGCUAGGGAUGGGGAGGUUAAACUUUCCGUUCCGUAAGUUAACAACGUUAAGCGAGCCGCCUGGGGAGUACGAUCGCAAGAUU